rnacentral:rRNA from 1 species
ACGCUCGACACCUACGGGAGGCAGCAGUGGGGAAUAUUGGGCAAUGGGCGCAAGCCUGACCCAGCAACGCCGCGUGAAGGAAGAAGGCUUUCGGGUUGUAAACUUCUUUUCUUGAGGACGAAGAAGUGACGGUACUCAAGGAAUAAGCUCCGGCUAACUACGUGCCAACAGCCGCGGUAAUCUGAGCGGGCUGGCAAGGC